UACGGAGGGAGCUAGCGUUGUUCGGAAUUACUGGGCGUAAAGCGCACGUAGGCGGCUUUGCAAGUUAGAGGUGAAAGCCCGGGGCUCAACUCCGGAACUGCCUUUAAGACUGCAUCGCUGGAAUCGUGGAGAGGUGAGUGGAAUUCCGAGUGUAGAGGUGAAAUUCGUAGAUAUUCGGAAGAACACCAGUGGCGAAGGCGACUUACUGGACACAUAUUGACGCUGAGGCGCGAAAGCGUGGGGAGCAAACAGG
rnacentral:rRNA from 1 species